CACGUAGGGUGCGAGCGUUGUCCGGAAUUAUUGGGCGUAAAGAGCUCGUAGGCGGUGUGUCGCGUCGGCCGUGAAAACCUGCAGCUUAACUGUGGGCUUGCGGUCGAUACGGGCAUCACUGGAGUUCGGCAGGGGAGACUGGAAUUCCUGGUGUAGCGGUGAAAUGCGCAGAUAUCAGGAGGAACACCGAUGGCGAAGGCGGUUCUCUGGGCAUUACCUGACGCUGAGGAGCGAAAGUGUGGGGAGCGAACAGG
rnacentral:rRNA from 1 species